rnacentral:rRNA from 1 species
ACCAGACUCCUACGGGAGGCAGCAGUGGGGGAUAUUGCACAAUGGGGGGAACCCUGAUGCAGCGACGCCGCGUGGGUGAAGAAGCGCCUCGGCGCGUAAAGCCCUGUCAGCAGGGAAGAAAAUGACGGUACCUGAAGAAGAAGCCCCGGCUAACUACGUGCCAGCAGCCGCGGUAAUACGUAGGGGGCAAGCGUUAUCCGGAUUUACUGGGUGUAAAGGGGGCGCAGACGGCGAUGCAAGCCAGGAGUGAAAGCCCGGGGCCCAACCCCGGGACUGCUCUUGGGACUGCGUGGCUGGAGUGCAGGAGGGGCAGGCGGAAUUCCUGGUGUAGCGGUGAAAUGCGUAGAUAUCAGGAGGAACACCGGUGGCGAAGGCGGCCUGCUGGACGACAACUGACGGUGAGGCGCGAAAGCGUGGGGAGCAAACAGGAUUAGAUACCCGCGUAAAA